rnacentral:rRNA from 1 species
GUCCACGCUGUAAACGAUGAGUGCUAGCUGUCGGGCCCUUAGGGUUCGGUGGCGCUGCUAACGCAUUAAGCACUCCGCCUGGGGAGUACGGUCGCAAGAUUAAAACUCAAAGGAAUUGACGGGGACCCCGCACAAGCGGUGGAGCAUGUGGUUUAAUUCGAGGCAACGCGAAGAACCUUACCAGCCCUUGACAUACCGGUCGCGGAUUACAGAGAUGUUUUCCUUCAGUUUGGCUGGACCGGAUACAGGUGCUGCACGGCUGUCGU